CUGAAUCUAGAAGGGGUAGUUCUUGGCUCGGUCGUGGGGUUUUUGGCGAUGCAUUCAGAACGAUAUCUCAGCCAUGCACAGUAUGUACUGGUUCAUCGCAUCACCGAGAAUCUCAAUCCCCUAAUCAGUAGGGAUGUCUAUCUCGCAUGACUCAUCCAACACUGUAAUAACUUGCACCUAGGUGUAUUAUGGCAGGGGUGCCUUUGGGAAUACAUGACCUACUUUGCCGGUUGCAACCUCUCGAAACUUAUUUUAUUUCCUU
rnacentral:lncRNA from 1 species